rnacentral:rRNA from 1 species
UACGAAGGGGGCUAGCGUUGUUCGGAUUUACUGGGCGUAAAGAGCGCGUAGGCGGACGUUUAAGUCAGAGGUGAAAUCCCAGGGCUCAACCUUGGAAGUGCCUUUGAUACUGGAUGUCUCGAGUGUGAUAGAGGUAAGUGGAAUUGCGAGUGUAGAGGUGAAAUUCGUAGAUAUUCGCAGGAACACCGGUGGCGAAGGCGACUUACUGGAUCAUUACUGACGCUGAGGCGCGAAAGCAUGGGGAGCAAACAGG